UCCUACGGGGGGCAGCAGUGGGGAAUUUUGCGCAAUGGGCUAACGCCUGACGCAGCAACGCCGCGUGGAGGAUGAAGGUCUUUGGAUUGUAAACUCCUGUCAGCAGGGAAGAAAUGCGCUGACCUAAUACGUCAGUGAGUUGACUGUACCUGCAGAGGAAGCCCCGGCUAACUCUGUGCCAGCAGCCGCGGUAAUACAGAGGGGGCAAGCGUUAUUCGGAAUUAUUGGGCGUAAAGGGCGCGUAGGCGGCUUGGCAAGUGGAAGGUGAAAUCCCUCGGCUCAACUGAGGAACUGCCUUCCAAACUGCUUUGCUUGAGUCCGGGAGAGGCGAGUGGAAUUCCCAGUGUAGCGGUGAAAUGCGUAGAUAUUGGGAGGAACACCAGUGGCGAAGGCGGCUCGCUGGACCGGUUACUGACGCUGAGGCGCGAAAGCGUGGGGAGCAAACGGGAUUAGAUACCCGGGUAGUCCC
rnacentral:rRNA from 1 species